CAAUAGCGUAUAUUAAAGUUGUUGCGGUUAAAAAGCUCGUAGUUGGAUUUCUGCUGAGGAUGACCGGUCCGCCCUCCGGGUGAGUAUCUGGCUCAGCCUUGGCAUCUUCCUGAAGAACGUAACUGCACUUGACUGUGUGGUGCGGUAUUUAGGACAUUUACUUUGAGGAAAUUAGAGUGUUUCAAGCAAGCGCACGCCUUGAAUACAUUAGCAUGGAAUAAUAAGAUAGGACCUCGGUUCUAUUUUGUUGGUUUCUAGAGCUGAGGUAAUGAUUGAUAGGGAUAGUUGGGGGCAUUCGUAUUUAACUGUCAGAGGUGAAAUUCUUGGAUUUGUUAGAGACGGACUACUGCGAAAGCAUUUGCCAAGGAUGUUUUCAUUGA
rnacentral:rRNA from 1 species